rnacentral:rRNA from 1 species
AACGAACGCUGGCGGCACGCCUAACACAUGCAAGUCGAGCGCUACCUUCGGGUGGAGCGGCGGACGGGUUAGUAACGCGUGGGAACAUACCCUUUUCUGAGGAAUAACCAUUGGAAACGAUGACUAAUACCUCAUACGCCCUUCGGGGGAAAGAUUUAUCGGUGAAGGAUUGGCCCGCGUUAGAUUAGAUAGUUGGUGGGGUAAUGGCCUACCAAGUCUACGAUCUAUAGCUGGUUUGAGAGGAUGAUCAGCAACACUGGGACUGAGACACGGCCCAGACUCCUACGGGAGGCAGCAGUGGGGAAUCUUAGACAAUGGGCGAAAGCCUGAUCUAGCGAUGCCGCGUGUGUGACGAAGGCCUUAGGGUCGUAAAGCACUUUCGCCAAGGAUGAUAAUGACAGUACUUGGUAAAGAAGUCCCGGCUAACUCCGUGCCAGCAGCCGCGGUAAUACGGAGGGGACUAGCGUUGUUCGGAAUUACUGGGCGUAAAGCGCACGUAGGCGGACUGAUCAGUAUGGGGUGAAAUCCCGGGGCUCAACCCCGGAACUGCCCUGUAUACUGUCAGUCUAGAGUUCGAGAGAGGUAAGUGGAAUUCCGAGUGUAGAGGUGAAAUUCGUAGAUAUUCGGAGGAACACCAGUGGCGAAAGCGGCUUACUGGCUCGAUACUGACGCUGAGGUGCGAAAGCGUGGGGAGCAAACAGG